rnacentral:rRNA from 1 species
AACGAACGCUGGCGGCAUGCCUAACACAUGCAAGUCGAACGAGACCUUCGGGUCUAGUGGCGCACGGGUGCGUAACGCGUGGGAACCUGCCUUUAGGUUCGGAAUAACUCAGAGAAAUUUGAGCUAAUACCGGAUAAUGUCUUCGGACCAAAGAUUUAUCGCCUUUAGAUGGGCCCGCGUUGGAUUAGCUAGUUGGUGGGGUAAAGGCCUACCAAGGCGACGAUCCAUAGCUGGUCUGAGAGGAUGAUCAGCCACACUGGGACUGAGACACGGCCCAGACUCCUACGGGAGGCAGCAGUGGGGAAUAUUGGACAAUGGGCGAAAGCCUGAUCCAGCAAUGCCGCGUGAGUGAUGAAGGCCUUAGGGUUGUAAAGCUCUUUUACCCGAGAUGAUAAUGACAGUAUCGGGAGAAUAAGCUCCGGCUAACUCCGUGCCAGCAGCGCGGUAAAGUGACU